CCUACGGGUGGCAGCAGUGGGGAAUAUUGGGCAAUGGAGGCAACUCUGACCCAGCAACGCCGCGUGAAUGAUGAAGGUCUUCGGAUUGUAAAGUUCUUUUCUAAGGGAAGAAGAAAGUGACGGUACCUUAGGAAUAAGCCUCGGCUAACUACGUGCCAGCAGCCGCGGUAAUACGUAGGGGGCAAGCGUUAUCCGGAUUUACUGGGUGUAAAGGGAGCGUAGACGGCGCUGCAAGUCCGGAGUGAAAGCCCAUGGCUUAAACAUGGUACUGCUCUGGAAACUGUGGAGCUUGAGUGCGGGAGGGGCAGGCGGAAUUCCUAGUGUAGCGGUGAAAUGCGUAGAUAUUAGGAGGAACACCAGCGGCGAAGGCGGCCUGCUGGACCGUAACUGACGUUGAGGCUCGAAAGCGUGGGGAGCAAACAGGAUUAGAUACCCUUGUAGUC
rnacentral:rRNA from 1 species